ACGUCGUGAUGGUUCGACCUUCACGAUCGCCUCGCUCCCCUCCACCCCACCCUCCUACGAUUCCUCGAAAAUCGGACUGCCUUCCCACCCCUCCGCUCACGUGAAAAAAAAAAGAAAAACAACGCACGUCCCCACGUCCCCGUAUCCCACCUCCCACUCCCUUCCCCCAAAUCCCUCGCUCUCGAUUCCCUAUUCUCUCCAGAGAGGAAUCACCGCCGCCGACCUCCUCCCACCUACAGCGACCUCGAGCGGCAGCGAACUGCAGCCAAGCUAGAUUGGAGUGGUGGAUCCGUGCCCUUGACAUCUCACGAAGUCCAUGAGGAGGGCGACGCGGGGAGGGCGCGACGACGGCAACGACGAGCGAUGGCGACGUGGGAAGGGCGUGGCGACCAGGAGCGGCGCAUCGACGGCAACGACAAGCGACCGCCGAGUUGGGAAUCGGAGCAGGUGUGGCAGAACGACAUCGACCUCCUCAAGCCGUCGGCGGGUCUAGAGAAGCUCAACUCAUUCCUCAUGGUGCGCUGUUAAACCUUGUCGAGGGAGGCGGUGGCGACUGGUGGUGCGAAGCUGAUCCUCCACAAGGGCUUCCCCAUGCUGCUACGCUCUCCUGUCGGUCUCUUCUUGCCUUCGCUCAGGCAGGCACUGGCGCGGCUGACCGGCCGUUAAUCAGCGACGGACAACAUGGCAACGCAGGGGGUGAAGCAAACACUUAUUGGGAGGUACUCAAAAUUUGAUCACUUUGUUGUAGAAUCAGGUGCUGAUUAAUUAAUCAUUGACUGAUUUUGAAUCUCUGCCAAUAGUUCAACAUCUUUUUUUAAUCAUAAGGUCUAAAAGGUAUCAUUCAAAAUCUGCAGAUGAUCAGUAGUGUCAAACCCACAUCCUCUCUGCCAUCUUAUACAUGAACUGCUUUGUAAAAAGUGGAAAAUUGUUGCUUGUAAUGUUGAUGUGCAGACUACCAAAUUGGGAAAUUUUCGAUCAUGGCGAAACUACACUGUAAAAAGUGAAUCAUAUUAGUAAUGUCUCCCAACUCUCAAAUUGUUGCUUGUUAUAUUAAUCUGCAGACUACCAAAUUGGAAGAUUUUCAAUCAUGAUAUGAUUCUAAGAAUGGAUGCAUGAUUGCAGAUGGCUACCAAACCGUAAAAAUUCAACAUUCAAAAGAUGUAUUUUGUAUUAGCAGUUUUGAUGCAUGAUUGCAGCUGCAUGUAGGUUUCGGUUUGUCCAAGAACUGUCUAUGUAUACCGAUAAUGAUUACUCCAUCCGUCCCAAAAUAAGUUUAUUUGGUUUAGUACAGUUUAUUUAUACUAUAGAACUGUACUACCUGUACAAAAUCAAAGAUACUUAUUUUGGGACUGGGGGAGUACUCUGUUUUCAAAUGGCGCCUGCUGUACACAUGACAACUGUGCGUGUAUAAAUCAGUAUCAUGUUGCCUGCACAUUGAACUUAUAAUUUUUUUUUCUGAAUAAUGUGUCAUAUUUUGAUUCCUGUCAAAAUGACCAUUGCUAUUUGCUUUCUAGACAUCUUGUAUGUGGCUUGUGGUGAUAACAAUUUUUAUUUUUCUCAGGAUUUGAUUAUGAUCAUGAAGGGUACAUUACGAUUUACGAGCAUUUAAUCUUCUCUGAUAAUCAAAGUGCCGCAUAGUCUUAUGUGCAUUCAUCAGAGCUAUUCCACAAAUUUGUCCCCCCUUAUGCCUUUUUACACUUUUAUAUGUGUAGCUUUUAAUUUUUUUAAGACGUUCAUUCUUGUUUUAUAAGUCUUCAUGUGUGCAGAAUUACUUUUGCGGUGAGCUGGAGUGUGACGUCUUCUCACGGGCUACUGUCAUCAAUCAAGGUGGUCAUCGGUCGAUAUCAAGCUUGACGAGUACUUCCUGAAGGCUGAUUUCUGCUCCCGCCGCGUCGCUGACCGAGGCCCCAUCUACGUGGGAAGCUGCUAUUUUUUUGAUAGAUUGGCAGUGAGAUGCUUGGAUAGGAGAAAAGAAAUCAGAAGAGCAUGAGAGAUAGAUGUUGAGAACCUAAAUAAUGCACACACAUUUACAUAUUUCAUGCGAUGGUAGUAUGUCGUCGUAGUUUUUGUGUUGGUUGUCCUACUGAAUGUUCCUGUUUGUCCUAACUCAUCACAUCACUCUCAAUUUUCAGUCAUGCUUGGAGCUUU